GAUGAACGCUAGCGGCAGGCCUAAUACAUGCAAGUCGAGGGAGAAUGUUGGAUUCGUCUGACAUGAAACCGGCGCACGGGUGCGUAACACGUAUGCAACCUACCUUUAACUGGGGUAUAGCUCAGAGAAAUCUGAAUUAAUCCCCCAUAAGACUACGACAUGGCAUCAUGAUGUAGUUAAAGCUCCGGCGGUCAAGGAUGGGCAUGCGGUACAUUAGCUAGUUGGUGAGUGAAUGGCUCACCAAGGAUACGAUGUAUAGGGGGUCUGAGAGGAUGAUCCCCCACACUGGUACUGAGACACGGACCAGACUCCUACGGGAGGCAGCAGUAGGGAAUAUUGGUCAAUGGACGCAAGUCUGAACCAGCCAUGCCGCGUGAAGGAUGAAGGCCCUAUGGGUCGUAAACUUCUUUUAUUAGGGAAGAAAAAACGGGAUGCGUCCUGUACUGACGGUACUUAAUGAAUAAGGAUCGGCUAACUUCGUGCCAGCCGCCGCCGUAA
rnacentral:rRNA from 1 species